AACGAACGCUGGCGGCAGGCUUAACACAUGCAAGUCGAACGCCCCGCAAGGGGAGUGGCAGACGGGUGAGUAACGCGUGGGAAUCUACCCAGUUCUACGGAACAACAGUUGGAAACGACUGCUAAUACCGAAUACGCCCUAAGGGGGAAAGAUUUAUCGGAAUUGGAUGAGCCCGCGUUGGAUUAGCUAGUUGGUGGGGUAAUGGCCUACCAAGGCGACGAUCCAUAGCUGGUCUGAGAGGAUGAUCAGACACACUGGGACUGAGACACGGCCCAGACUCCUACGGGAGGCAGCAGUGGGGAAUAUUGGACAAUGGGCGCAAGCCUGAUCCAGCCAUGCCGCGUGAGUGAUGAAGGCCUUAGGGUUGUAGAGCUCUUUCAGUAGGGAAGAUAAUGACGGUACCUACAGAAGAAGCCCCGGCUAACUUCGUGCCAGCCGCCGCCGUAAAAC
rnacentral:rRNA from 1 species